AGACGUGAGGGCUAUCUGGCUACAUGUUAUCUCACUGAUUACUAGGGUUGACUUAGCUCCUUUGACUGGCUGGGUGACCCUUUUCUCCCUUACCACUCCAGUGCAUCCUUCCCUAAAUUGUAUAUUCUAUUGAAAGAAAUAAAGACUAACCAGGACCAGUCUGGCAAGUACAUGAAUUGCUGCUCUCAUCUGCUAGAAUAUCCAGACCUCUCAAAACCACAUCCACAUCCUCCUUUCUUUAAGAUAAUAUUUGGU
rnacentral:snRNA from 1 species